GACAGAGGGUGCAAACGUUUGUUCGGAUUUACUGGGCGUAAAGCGCGUGUAGGCGGCUUCGCAAGUUGGAUGUGAAAUCCCACGGCUCAACCGUGGACGUGCAUCCAAAACUGCGUCGCUAGAGUUUCGGAGAGGAAGGUGGAAUGCUUGGUGUAGCGGUGAAAUGCGCAGAUAUCGGGAGGAACGACCGGUGGCGAAGGCGGGGUCUCU
rnacentral:rRNA from 1 species